rnacentral:pre_miRNA from 1 species
GCUGCUGUAGGGUAGCAGGAGAGAGGUGUUACCUUGUCAGCUGCCUCCUCUCCCAUCCUCUCCUGCAGAAGC